AUUAAACGCUGGCGGCAUGCCUUACACAUGCAAGUCGAACGGCAGCACGGGGGCAACCCUGGUGGCGAGUGGCGGACGGGUGAGUAAAGCAUCGGAACGUAUCCUGGAGUGGGGGAUAACGUAGCGAAAGUUACGCUAAUACCGCAUAUUCUGUGAGCAGGAAAGCAGGGGAUCGCAAGACCUUGCGCUCUGGGAGCGGCCGAUGUCGGAUUAGCUAGUUGGUGGGUAAAGGCCUACCAAGGCGACGAUCCGUAGCGGGUCUGAGAGGAUGAUCCGCCACACUGGGACUGAGACACGGCCCAGACUCCUACGGGAGCAGCAGUGGGGAAUUUUGGACAAUGGGCGGAAGCCUGAUCCAGCCAUGCCGCGUGAGUGAAGAAGGCCUUC
rnacentral:rRNA from 1 species